AUGGUCAAGUAUUGCGUCCAUGCUGAGAUCCCCUUUCUUAAGUUUGAAGAUCCCCACCUCCAGCCAUGGAUUGACUCAAUGCAGCCAGCGUUUCAAAUCAAGGGUCGUCACACAAUUCGUGAUGAUGCAGUGAAGAUGUAUAAGGGAAUGAAGAAAGAUAUCGAAGUAGAGCUACAAAAUUUGGAUUCUCGCAUUUGCUUAACAUCUGACAUGUGGACAUCAUCACAGGACUUAGGCUACAUGUGCAUCACCGCCCAUUAUAUCAAUGCAGAAUUCAACUACAAGAAGAAGACCAUAAGUUUCGCAGAAGUGAAGUAUCCCCACACAGGCUAUGCGAUAGAGGAAGAAAUAGUUUGUUGCUUAACAGAAUGGGGCAUAAGAGGCAAAUUAUUCACUUUGACACUAGAUAAUGCCAGCAAUAAUACUAAUGCAUGUGAGGAGUUAAUAAAAUAUCACAAACAUGAGCUGCUCCUUGAAGGUCAACAUUUGCAUGUCAGGUGUUGUGCGCACAUUCUUAAUAUCUUGGUUCAGGAUGGAAUGAAAAUAAUCCAUGAAGCUAUUGACAUGAUACGUGAGCUGAUGAAGUAUAUUGACUCUUCUCCUUCAAGACUUCAAGAUUUCAAUACAAUUGCAAGUGGGAUGGGUCUACGUGCAAACAAAGGCAUCUCUGUUGAUACACCAACCAGAUGGAACUCAACCUGGAAAAUGCUUGUAGAAGCAUUGACGUACAAAUCUGUUCUCACUAGUUAUGCCAACAGAAAGAUGAUAGAUUCUCCAAGUGAGGAGGAAUGGGAGAAGGCAAAAGCUAUUUGUGAGUUUCUAAAAGCUUUUGAAGAGCUUACUUUGAUUGUUUCAGCUCAUAGGAAGCCAACUUCACAUAAGUUUCUGCCAGUUGUGCUUUCUAUUCGCCAUGCAUUGAAAGAUCCGGGUUGGCAGACCUCUGAUGUGUUGAAGGAAUUGGCGGCAGUGAUGCAAACGAAGCUUGAUAAAUAUUGGGAUCCCGAGGAGAAGGAGAAUGCAGAUCCUAACCGUCGUAGAAAAAACAAGGGCAUUGAGUUUAACCAUGCACUUGUCAUUGCUACAUUCCUGGAUCCAAGGAGGAAAGAAGAUUACUUGGAUUUCUUCUAUUGCAAGUUGUCUACCGACGGGGAGCAAAUUACAAAACAAGUGGAGAUUGCUUUAGAAUGGGUGAGAAAGUAUGUCAAGGAAUAUGAGCUACUUGCAGUGACAAGCACUACACACUCGACACCUUCUAGUCAAGGUAAUACCAUUAUUGGAUCACCUGUUGCAGGGAAAAGGAAGUUGGAAGAAGAGUUUGCCGAGCACAAGUCUCGUCGGAGGUCAUGUGUACACAAAUCCGAGUUUGAUGCAUACUUGGAAGAAGCAUCUGAGAAGGUCGGUGAUGACUUUGAUGUCUUGGGUUGGUGGAAGAGGCAUGGCGAAAAGUUUCCUAUAUUGGCAUCUAUGGCCCGUGACUUUCUUGCAAUUCCUUUGAGCACAGUGGCAUCUGAAUCAGUCUUCGGUUGUGGUAAGAGGAUACUCGACGACAAGAGAAGCUCUUUGAACCCUGAUAUGCUAGAAGUGCUUGUUUGUGCUAAAGAUUGGUUGUUCAAACCAAAGGAGGGUGAGUUAACCGCUUACAUUUUGGUUCUACUACUUGUGUAG
rnacentral:rRNA from 1 species